UACGUAGGGUGCGAGCGUUGUCCGGAAUUAUUGGGCGUAAAGAGCGUGUAGGCGGCCUGAAAGGUCAGCUGUGAAAACUCGAGGCUCAACCUCGAGACGUCGGUUGAAACCAUCUGGCUAGAGUCCGGAAGAGGAGUGUGGAAUUCCCGGUGUAGCGGUGAAAUGCGCAGAUAUCGGGGAAGAACACCCGUGGCGAAGGCGGCACUCUGGGACGGUACUGACGCUGAGACGCGAAAGCGUGGGGAGCGAACAGG
rnacentral:rRNA from 1 species